rnacentral:lncRNA from 1 species
GGCUGAGGCCAGCAGGGGUGGCAGGGACUUGCUUUCCCGCGCUGGCCUUGGCUGCCCUGCCCUCCUGUUGUGAUCCCCUCCCCAGGGACUACUGGUCUCUAUUUCCAAAAGACACCUGCGCUGCCUCUCCACCUGUUACCGGGAUCCCCUUGGUUGGGGGAAGCUUAAGAAGGAGCCGCAGCGGCCGGGCGCGGUGGCUCAAGCCUGUAAUCCCAGCACUUUGGGAGGCCGAGACGGGCGGAUCACGAGGUCAGGAGAUCGAGACCAUCCUGGGUAACACAGUGAAACCCCGUCUCUACUAAAAAAAAUACAAAAACUUAGCCGGGCGAGGUGGCAGGCGCCUGUAGUCCCAGCUACUCGGGAGGCUGAGGCAGGAGAAUGGUGUGAACCCGGGAGGCGGAGCUUGCAGUGAGCUGAGAUCCGGCCACUGCACUCCAGCCUGGGUGACAGAGCGAGACUCCGUCUCAAAAAAAAAAAAAAAAAAAAAAAAAAAGAAGGAGCCGCAGCUCUGGAUGCAAGGCAGGGAUCUCCCAUUGCUGCUGGAAAGUAAGGGGCCGGAGAGACCGAAUGGGGUGUAGGACAGUUUACUCAAGGUGUACACCAGCUCGGUGGACUCACAUCUAGAAAGUCUGAGCACUAGACGAAGAAAGCAGUUGUCUUUUAAGUAGUUUGUGGCAGGAGCUACAUGAUGCAGGAAUAUUUUACAGUGACAUUAUUGUUAUUUUUUAAUUUUUUUACUUGCCCAUUCCAGCCACCCUGCACACACCCAAAGCAGUCUGGCUGCCACCAGCCUCCAGGGAACAUCAAGAGUGGGAGUGAGGAGACCAUGAGGAUCCCUGCUGCCUUGGAGGGCAGGACAGGGAACCUGGCCAGUGAGCACUUUCCAUGGGAUGUGGAGGUGAAGGGGACACCCUCCCUGAUUCCGGACACAUCUACACACAUCUAGGCUGAUGGGAUGGUUGCAGCGAGUUGACUUGUGAUCCUCCAAAAAGAUACAUCGGGGUCCUAACACCUAGCACUUGCGACUGUCAUCUUUUUUGGAAACAAGGUCUUUGCAGAUGUAAUUAAGUGAAAGAUCUCAAGAUGUAAUCACUCUAGAUUUACAGCGGGCCGUACAUGCGAUGGGUGGUGUCCUUACAAGAAAGAAAACGGGGACAUCUUAGUCACGAAGGCACAGAGAGAGAAGAAGGCCACGUGGAGACGGAGGCAGGGGCUGGAGUCAUGAAAUCCUCAGCCAAGGAACACCAAGAGUUGCUGGCAGCCCCCGGAAACUAGGACAGAGACCUGGGAUGGAUUCUCCAGAGAGCCUCUGGAGGGAACCAGCCCUGCCAACACCUUGAUUCUGGGCUCUGGCCUCCAGAACUGUGAGAGAAUUAAUUUCUGGUUUUGUAAGCUGCCAAGUUUGCAGUAAUUUGUCAUGGCUGCCCCAGGAAAGGAACGCAGAUGACAUUAGCCCCAGCCUGUGCUAAGGGCGCUGAGCAGACUGCAGCCGAGUGGAGGGCAGGGAGGCCCUGCCCCGGGAGCCACACUUGACAGGGGCCUGUAACCUUAUGGGAAGACACACAGACAGGGGAGGAUCCAUUCAGUAAUGAGGUAACUGGCUGGUGGGACCCCGGCCCAGGGAGGGGGCUUGUGGGCCAGG